rnacentral:ncRNA from 1 species
UUGGUAACAAGAGGUCUGGAGGAAACCGAUAGCAAAACACUGACCUGAUGAACAAGAAGCAGAUAUGAGGCAUAUUGGGUGGGUGAGAAGUCGUGCUUCUUCAAAGCCCAAAUACACGUACGGAACCCAAUAUGUAUAUCUGACAGGUAUAAGUGUGAAAGCA